UACGAGGGGGGCGAGCGUUGUUCGGAAUUAUUGGGCGUAAAGGGUGCGUAGGCGGUUUGUCGCGUCGGGAGUGAAAACUCAGGGCUUAACCCUGAGCCUGCUUCCGAUACGGGCAGACUAGAGGUAUGCAGGGGAGAACGGAAUUCCUGGUGUAGCGGUGAAAUGCGCAGAUAUCAGGAGGAACACCGGUGGCGAAGGCGGUUCUCUGGGCAUUACCUGACGCUGAGGAGCGAAAGUGUGGGGAGCGAACAGG
rnacentral:rRNA from 1 species